AGUCGAGGGAGAAGCUUUCGGGCUGAAACCGGCGCACGGGUGCGUAACGCGUAUACAAUCUACCUUUCACAGGGGGAUAGCCCGAAGAAAUUUGGAUUAAUACCCCAUAGUAUAGUAGUGUGGCAUCACACAACUAUUAAAACCCUGGUGGUGAAAGAUGAGUAUGCGUUCUAUUAGCUAGUUGGAGAGGUAACGGCUCCCCAAGGCGACGAUAGAUAGGGGUUCUGAGAGGGAUGUCCCCCACACUGGUACUGAGAUACGGACCAGACUCCUACGGGAGGCAGCAGUGAGGAAUAUUGGACAAUGGUCGGAAGACUGAUCCAGCCAUGCCGCGUGCAGGACGACGGCCCUAUGGGUUGUAAACUGCUUUUGUAGAGGAAGAAUAAGGCGUACGUGUACGCUGAUGACGGUACUUUACGAAUAAGCAUCGGCUAACUCCGUGCCAGCAGCCGCGGUAAUACGGAGGAUGCGAGCGUUAUCCGGAAUCAUUGGGUUUAAAGGGUCCGUAGGCGGGGUAAUAAGUCAGAGGUGAAAGCGCUCAGCUCAACUGAGCAACUGCCUUUGAAACUGUUAUUCUUGAAUGAUUGUGAAGUAGUUGGAAUGUGUAGUGUAGCGGUGAAAUGCUUAGAGAUUACACAGAACACCGAUAGCGAAGGCAUAUUACUAACAAUUGAUUGACGCUGAUGGACGAAAGCGUGGGGAGCGAACAGGAUUAGAUACCCUGGUAGUCCACGCUGUAAACGAUGGAUACUAGCUGUUUGGAGCAAUCUGAGUGGUUAAGCGAAAGUGAUAAGUAUCCCACCUGGGGAGUACGCACGCAAGUGUGAAACUCAAAGGA
rnacentral:rRNA from 1 species